rnacentral:rRNA from 1 species
UUCCGGUUGAUCCUGCCGGAGGCCAUUGCUAUCGGGAUCCGAUUUAGCCAUGCUAGUUGCACGGGUUUAGACCCGUGGCGAAAAGCUCAGUAACACGUGGCCAAACUACCCUACGGACCGGAAUAACCUCGGGAAACUGAGGCUAAUACCGGAUAGUGUUCUCACGUUGGAAUACCGGGAACACGAAAAGCUACGGCGCCGUAGGAUGUGGCUGCGGCCGAUUAGGUAGACGGUGGGGUAACGGCCCACCGUGCUUGUAAUCGGUACGGGUCAUGAGAGUGAGAGCCCGGAGAUGGAAUCUGAGACAAGAUUCCAGGCCCUACGGGGCGCAGCAGGCGCGAAACCUUUACACUGUACGCAAGUGCGAUAAGGGGAUCCCGGGUGCGAGGGCAUACAGUCCUCGCUUUUCUAUACCGUAAGGUGGUAUAGGAAUAAGGGCUGGGCAAGACCGGUGCCAGCCGCCGCGGUAAUACCGGCAGCCCAAGUGAUGGCCGCUUUUAUUGGGCCUAAAGCGUCCGUAGCCGGCCGAACAAGUCCGUCGGGAAAUCCGCUUGCUUAACAAGCGGCCGUCCGGCGGAAACUGUUCGGCUUGGGACCGGAAGACCCGAGGGGUACGUCCGGGGUAGGAGUGGAAUCCUGUAAUCCUGGACGGACCGCCGGUGGCGAAAGCGCCUCGGGAAAACGGAUCCGACGGUGAGGGACGAAAGCUGGGGUCUCGAACCGGAUUAGAUACCCGGGUAGUCCCAGCCGUAAACGAUGCUCGCUAGGUGUGGCGCAGGCUACGAGCCUGCGCUGUGCCGUAGGGAAGCCGUGAAGCGAGCCGCCUGGGAAGUACGUCCGCAAGGAUGAAACUUAAAGGAAUUGGCGGGGGAGCACUACAACCGGAGGAGCCUGCGGUUCAAUUGGAUUCAACGCCGGG